rnacentral:lncRNA from 1 species
AAAGGUCACUCAGAAGAAGAAUUCAGCUAAAUAUGAAACAACCUUUUGCUGGAAACUCAUACCUGCCUCUCACAUCCUUUUUGUAUCCUACAGGUCCCGGGAGCUGUCCCUUAGCAAACUGCUGAAGUUUAGCACCACCACAAGCACAGAACGUACCCCCAGCUCCUCUGUGGCCAGAAAAGCAGGUCUGGCAGAACAAAGA